CGAAAAGGCUUUAAUCAGACUUUACACGUUACAUAAAUAUAAGCAACCAACUACAAUUACAUCCUUUUGAAUGCGUUUUCGUUCCUGGGAUCAGUCGAAAUGCUGAAAGCUACUUUUCCUGCCGUUGGUGACUUGAGUGACUGACAGUGCUAGGGCUGGACGGUUGUGGACUCCUUAAACCUGAAUCAGUGACUCUGGAUCUUCAGGACAUAAGUUCUCCAAUAAGAGCGGCUUGUAAAUUGAAGUUUAUGGCGCUUGAGAAAAGGGGAUAUGGAAGACCUCGAAGUUUGACUACUUCAGCUAUACGGAAAUACCAGUGGCCGUGUUCUUGCGAAACGGCAUCUCUUCAGUUGCUGUGGCCUUGGUCCGAACCAGAUAUAGUACCCUACGAAUGGAGAAUCUGAAAGUAUUACAAGUAGAGCUGCGAGCCAUCACAGCUCACUUCCCGAGUAUCUCGGAGCUCAGCCAUCUCAGUAGGGGUGGUAUCCUCUGCCUUUCGUCUGACCAGCGUUGUGUUCAAGACCUGCUGAACUGUUCUGUGUUCGCUACCAAUCCGGCAUCCAUCUAGCCGGCGAAGGUCUUCACGGGUGUCUGGCGACCCCUGUACCGUCGUGGCUUUGACUGAAUCCCUGGCACGGCGUGGUUCUGCUGCUUGGGCAGAAGACAGCGUCGCUUCUGACGGCGUCUACCUGGAGCGGGAGCGAGCCUGAGCUCACCGACACCCACCGCUGCGUCUUUUCCAC